rnacentral:rRNA from 1 species
UGAUCCUGGCUCAGGAUGAACGCUAGCGGCAGGCUUAACACAUGCAAGUCGAGGGGUAACAGGGAGUGCUUGCACUCUGCUGACGACCGGCGCACGGGUGCGUAACGCGUAUGCAACCUACCUUCUACAGGGGGAUAGUCCAGAGAAAUUUGGCAUAAUACCCCAUACGAUCAUUUAUUGGCAUCGAUAGAUGAGGAAAACUCCGGUGGUAGAAGAUGGGCAUGCGUCCUAUUAGUUAGUUGGUAAGGUAACGGCUUACCAAGACAUCGAUAGGUAGGGGUCCUGAGAGGGAGAUCCCCCACACUGGUACUGAGACACGGACCAGACUCCUACGGGAGGCAGCAGUGAGGAAUAUUGGACAAUGGAGGCAACUCUGAUCCAGCCAUGCCGCGUGCAGGAAGACGGCCCUAUGGGUUGUAAACUGCUUUUAUACAGGAAGAAACUCCGCUACGUGUAGCGGUUUGACGGUACUGUACGAAUAAGGAUCGGCUAACUCCGUGCCAGCAGCCGCGGUAAUACGGAGGAUCCAAGCGUUAUCCGGAAUCAUUGGGUUUAAAGGGUCCGUAGGCGGUUUUUUAAGUCAGAGGUGAAAUCCUGCAGCUCAACUGUAGCAUUGCCUUUGAUACUGAAAGACUUGAGUUAUUGUGAAGUAGUUAGAAUGUGUAGUGUAGCGGUGAAAUGCAUAGAUAUUACACAGAAUACCGAUUGCGAAAGCAGAUUACUAACAAUAUACUGACGCUGAGGGACGAAAGCGUGGGUAGCGAACAGGAUUAGAUACCCUGGUAGU